rnacentral:rRNA from 2 species
UUCUAUGACGUUAGCGGCGGACGGGUGAGUAACACGUGGGCAACCUGCCSUGUAAGACUGGGAUACUUCGGGAACCGAAGCUAAUACCGGAUAGGAUCUUCUCCUUCAUGGGAGAUGAUUGAAAGAUGGUUUCGGCUAUCACUUACAGAUGGGCCCGCGGUGCAUUAGCUAGUUGGUGAGGUAACGGCUCACCAAGGCAACGAUGCAUAGCCGACCUGAGAGGGUGAUCGGCCACACUGGGACUGAGACACGGCCCAGACUCCUACGGGAGGCAGCAGUAGGGAAUCUUCCGCAAUGGACGAAAGUCUGACGGAGCAACGCCGCGUGAGUGAUGAAGGCUUUCGGGUCGUAAAACUCUGUUGUUAGGGAAGAACAAGUACGAGAGUAACUGCUCGUACCUUGACGGUACCUAACCAGAAAGCCACGGCUAACUACGUGCCAGCAGCCGCGGUAAUACGUAGGUGGCAAGCGUUAUCCGGAAUUAUUGGGCGUAAAGCGCGCGCAGGCGGUUUCUUAAGUCUGAUGUGAAAGCCCACGGCUCAACCGUGGAGGGUCAUUGGAAACUGGGGAACUUGAGUGCAGAAGAGAAAAGCGGAAUUCCACGUGUAGCGGUGAAAUGCGUAGAGAUGUGGAGGAACACCAGUGGCGAAGGCGGCUUUUUGGUCUGUAACUGACGCUGAGGCGCG